rfam:Winogradskyella psychrotolerans RS-3 Winogradskyella_psychrotolerans_contig_9, whole genome shotgun sequence.
UUUGCGCAAAGGAUGGUAACGGCAUCCUUUUUUGCCAUUAAAAGCAAAAAAGAUAUAGUGGACAGCCUGGUUUAUG